rnacentral:rRNA from 1 species
GACGAACGCUGGCGGCGCGCUUAACACAUGCAAGUCGAGCGAUGAAAUUUCGACAGAUCCCUUCGGGGUGAAGAUGAAAUGGAUUAGCAGCGGACGGGUGAGUAACACGUGAGUAACCUGCCUUUGACAUUGGGAUAGCCUCGGGAAACUGGGAUUAAUACCAAAUGACACUAACUGAUCACAUGAUCAAUUAGUCAAAGAAAUUCGGUCAAAGAUGGGCUCGCGGCUGAUUAGCUAGUUGGUGAGGUAACGGCCCACCAAGGCGACGAUCAGUAGCCGGCCUGAGAGGGUGAUCGGCCACAUUGGAACUGAGACACGGUCCAAACUCCUACGGGAGGCAGCAGUGGGAAAUAUUGCACAAUGGGGGAAACCCUGAUGCAGCGACGCCGCGUGAGCGAAGAAGGCCUUCGGGUCGUAAAGCUCUUUUAUGAGGGAAGAUAAUGACGGUACCUCAAGAAAUAGCCCCGGCUAACUACGUG